rnacentral:rRNA from 1 species
UGAGGAAUAUUGGUCAAUGGACGGAAGUCUGAACCAGCCAUGCCGCGUGCAGGAAGACGGCUCUAUGAGUUGUAAACUGCUUUUGUAUGAGGGUAAAAACAGCUACGUGUAGUUGCUUGAAAGUAUCAUACGAAUAAGGAUCGGCUAACUCCGUGCCAGCAGCCGCGGUAAUACGGAGGAUUCGAGCGUUAUCCGGAUUUAUUGGGUUUAAAGGGUGCGUAGGCGGUAAUUUAAGUUAGUCGUUAAAUCGGAAGGCUCAACCUUCUCAUGGCGAUUAAUACUGGGUUACUAGAGAUUAGAUGCAGAGGGCGGAAUGUGUAGUGUAGCGGUGAAAUGCUUAGAUAUUACACAGAACACCGAUUGCGAAGGCAGCUCUCUAAUCUACAUCUGACGCUCAGGCACGAAAGCGUGGGGAUCAAACA